rnacentral:rRNA from 1 species
GACGAACGCUGGCGGCGUGCCUAAUACAUGCAAGCAGAACGCUGAAGAGAGGAGCUUGCUCUUCUUGGAUGAGUUGCGAACGGGUGAGUAACGCGUAGGUAACCUGCCUUGUAGCGGGGGAUAACUAUUGGAAACGAUAGCUAAUACCGCAUAACAAUGGAUGACACAUGUCAUUUAUUUGAAAGGGGCAAUUGCUCCACUACAAGAUGGACCUGCGUUGUAUUAGCUAGUAGGUGAGGUAACGGCUCACCUAGGCGACGAUACAUAGCCGACCUGAGAGGGUGAUCGGCCACACUGGGACUGAGACACGGCCCAGACUCCUACGGGAGGCAGCAGUAGGGAAUCUUCGGCAAUGGGGGCAACCCUGACCGAGCAACGCCGCGUGAGUGAAGAAGGUUUUCGGAUCGUAAAGCUCUGUUGUAAGUCAAGAACGAGUGUGAGAGUGGAAAGUUCACACUGUGACGGUAGCUUACCAGAAAGGGACGGCUAACUACGUGCCAGCAGCCGCGGUAAUACGUAGGUCCCGAGCGUUGUCCGGAUUUAUUGGGCGUAAAGCGAGCGCAGGCGGUUUGAUAAGUCUGAAGUUAAAGGCUGUGGCUCAACCAUAGUUCGCUUUGGAAACUGUCAAACUUGAGUGCAGAAGGGGAGAGUGGAAUUCCAUGUGUAGCGGUGAAAUGCGUAGAUAUAUGGAGGAACACCGGUGGCGAAAGCGGCUCUCUGGUCUGUAACUGACGCUGAGGCUCGAAAGCGUGGGGAGCGAACAGG